UACGAAGGGGGCUAGCGUUGCUCGGAAUUACUGGGCGUAAAGGGCGCGUAGGCGGAUAUUUAAGUCGGGGGUGAAAGCCCAGGGCUCAACCCUGGAACAGCCUUCGAUACUGGAUAUCUUGAGUACGGGAGAGGUGUGUGGAACUCCGAGUGUAGAGGUGAAAUUCGUAGAUAUUCGCAAGAACACCAGUGGCGAAGGCGGCUCACUGGCCCGAUACUGACGCUGAGGCACGAAAGCGUGGGGAGCAAACAGGG
rnacentral:rRNA from 1 species